AACAGCGCUCACUGUGGCAGUGUUAUCAUGUUUCAUUACAAUAAUUAAGAUUCAGAUUCUACUGUGUAAAUAAUUUGAGUCGUCAACUAUUUCAUGUGUGCAGACAAACACCACCAUAAACCUAUUUUCUAAUAACAAACCAAAUGUACAGAAGAGCUGCAUUAAUGUAAACACUUACCUCAUCUAACAGUCUUCACACAUUUAACUUCCUCUUUUCUAUUAUUGAUAAAGAUAUUUUCCACUGUUAAACAAUCCUUUAAAGGGAAAACAGGGGAGUUUGCAAAAUAGAUUAAAUAUAAAAGUUAUUAAAUGUGAAAAAGGAUUUAGCAAAAUUUAUAUCUACAUUAAGACAGAGGGGCAGAUACAGAUGUCUAAAAGCUGAAUGAACUGAAAUAAUUCAGCAAGAGCAGAGAAAAGGAGUGAUGUCACUAUGAGGAAGUGAGCAGGAAGUUGAUGCUGUAUUCAUCUCUGAGACUGUCUCAUUUGUGAACGUGAGAGCAAGAACAGAGACUGAGAGAGACAGAGAAGCACGAUGGCUGCAUUCACAUGGAUUCAAAUGUCUUCAUUACUGAUACUGAUGCUUCAGUUUAAAGGAACAACUGAGCAACAUCAAACUGUCACAGCUGGACGUGGACAUGAUGUUACUCUGCCUUGUAAAAAUGUGAUACAAGGUCAGCAUAACUGUAUCAGUACUGUCUGGAUCUUCAGUGAUUCAAGCAGCUCAGUAUCAAUCUUUGAAUUUGGGCAGAAUAAAGAAGCCAAACCUAAAUCAGACAGACUGAGUGUUUCUGCAGACUGUUCUCUGGUUAUAAAGAAGGUCACAGAUCAGGAUGUUGGUCGUUACACCUGCAGACAGUUCAAAACAGCAACAGGAUCACAAGAAGGUCCAGACUUUAUGAUUGAUCUGUCUGUUAUUAACAGUAAAGAUGUGAAAACGACAACAAAAUCAACAAUUAAACCAACAUUAAAAAUAACAAAUAUAUGGACAACAAGAGAGGAAGUAAAGACAUCGCUGACAACAACAUCAAAUCAACCAGACGGUGAAGAUGUGAAAACAACAAAAUCAACAACAGUGAAGUUCACCACAAAAACAUCAUCGACAACAAAAUCCACAACAUCAACAAUUAAACCAACCGUGAAAAUAAACACAUGGACAACAAGAGAGGAAUUAAAGACAUCAGCAGGGACACUGACAACAGCAUCAAAUAUUCCAUCUGGAGUUCUUUCAGGAUUUAUCAUCGUUCCUGUGGGUUUAGCAGCUCUCUUAAUAACUGUUGCUACCGUCAACAUGUGGAUAAAAUGUAACGGAAACAAAACACAGAUGGAAAAAACCGCUGAGCAUAAUGAUGAGGGUGAAGAUGGAGUGAACUAUGAACAUAUUGGAGACUCUUCUGCUUCUGUCAGACUCCACUGAUCAACAACUCAAACAUCAUCUCAUCACAUAAAUUAGCCCAUUGCUGUGAAAACACUGUGUGUCUCUGUGUGUGACUGGGUCUAAGUUUGAGACUUGCUGAGCCUUGACACCUGUGGGACAAGAUUAUAGAAGGUGAGGGUUGCUCCUCCCUACCACUCUCUUCUGGUCAUUGCCCAUGAGAACAGUCCUGAGCUCAUCCUUGGUUCUGGCUCUUAAACGUUCACCAUGAGAGCUCUUUCUGGGCCUCCUUUGUCAUUCUUUCCUCCUUUUACUUGUGCCAGCACACGGUCAUUGUCAUCUGGACAUGUGGGCUUGUGUCUGCAGGACUCUUGGGGUGCUGUGGAGGGCCCAACUAAACUGUGUGUUUCUCUUUCACACUCACAUGCAAGAUUGUGCGUUUUUUUGAGGUGCUGUUUGUUUUUUGUAUAUGUUUUUCUUACAGGUGCAGCAGAUGGUGAUCUGUUGAGUUGAACUAUGUGUGCUGUGUCCUUUUGAUUUUGUCUUCUCUUGAUUUUUCUCUGUUUUUCUUUUUUCCCUUUCUCCUCUCUACCCAUUCUUACCUCUCCCUACCUGUCAGCUCUGGUAUUGAUCAAUUACACAUAAGUUAAUGUGAAUAACAAUGGAAAUGAAUAAAUCAAAUAGAAUAAAAAGAAAGACUAAGAUAAGAAACCUAUACAAAAUUCAUAAAGCUCCUCUUGGCAAAGCAAAUGUGUUGGCACAACAGAGCAUUCAGAUCAUGUUUCUGAUUGUGAAUGCUGUCGGACAAGACAGGUUUAAAAAAAGGAAACAAAAAAUUACAUUUUGAUUUUUUCUCAUAUUUAGCUAAAAACUUUUUCAGGUACAUUUAGAUUUAUCUAACAAGUAAAAUACCAUACAGCAAUUAUUUAUCCUUUAUUUAAUUAUGAUAAACAGAAUCUUUUGUUUGUUUAAAUUUGCUGUUGAUGAUUUUUAUUAAAGGUAACCCACUGAGUUAAAAAUGACAGGUUAUUUAUUGCUGUUUAAAUGUUGUGUUAUUUAUUUGAUUGGUAGUCUUCUUACUUUAUUUUUAUUCCUGAGGUGAGUUUUAAUGAGAUUUACAAACAGUAACAGAUAUAAUGAUCCAAAUUAUAACUUCAGUUUCUAACUAUUGCUUUUUUUGCUGUAUGAUAAUAAGAAUAAAUGUAAACAUGUUUGUGAACAACUUUGUGUGUUUUUGAAAUCUCUCCAUCUCACACCUCACACACACCUGAUCCAUCCACCACAGACCACAGUACAAUCUACCAUCUAUUAUUGUCUCCAGUUUGACUUCCUGUUCUUUCAUAUUCAGUAUUAAACUUUUACUCUG
ensembl:lncRNA